GUGCCAGCAGCCGCGGUAAGACGAAGGGCGCAAGCGUUAUCCGGAAUUACUGGGCGUAAAGGGCGUCUAGGCGGCCAAUCAAGUCAACGUUGAAAGCCCUUGGCUAAACUGAGGGAUGUACGUCGAAACUGAUUGGCUCGAGGAACGUAGAGGAAGGCGGAACUCUCGGAGUAGCGGUGAAAUGCGUAGAGACCGAGAGGUACCCCGAUGGUGAAGACAGCCUUCUGGGCGUUUCCUGACGCUGAAGCGCUAAGGCCAGGGGAGCGAAGGGGAUUAGAUACCCCCGUAGUCCUGGCUUCAAACGAUGUGGGCUUGGUGUCGGCUCCCGACAGAGGGUCGUUGCCGGAGUUAACGCGUUAAGCCCACCGCCUGGGGAUUACGUCCGCAAGGAUGAAACUCAAGGGAAUUGACGGGGGCCCACACAACCGGUGGAGCACGUGGUUUAAUUCGAUGAUAAGCGAAGAACCUUACCAGGGCUUGACCUA
rnacentral:rRNA from 1 species